UCAUGGCUCAGGAUGAACGCUGGCGGCGUGCUUAACACAUGCAAGUCGAACGGUGAAGCAGAGCUUGCUCUGUGGAUCAGUGGCGAACGGGUGAGUAACACGUGAGCAACCUGCCCCGGACUCUGGGAUAAGCGCUGGAAACGGCGUCUAAUACUGGAUACGAGCUUCAGCCGCAUGGCUAGGAGCUGGAAAGAUUUUUUGGUCUGGGAUGGGCUCGCGGCCUAUCAGCUUGUUGGUGAGGUAAUGGCUCACCAAGGCGUCGACGGGUAGCCGGCCUGAGAGGGUGACCGGCCACACUGGGACUGAGACACGGCCCAGACUCCUACGGGAGGCAGCAGUGGGGAAUAUUGCACAAUGGGCGGAAGCCUGAUGCAGCAACGCCGCGUGAGGGAUGACGGCCUUCGGGUUGUAAACCUCUUUUAGCAGGGAAGAAGCGGAAGUGACGGUACCUGCAGAAAAAGCGCCGGCUAACUACGUGCCAGCAGCCGCGGUAAUACGUAGGGCGCAAGCGUUAUCCGGAAUUAUUGGGCGUAAAGAGCUCGUAGGCGGUUUGUCGCGUCUGCUGUGAAAUCCCGAGGCUCAACCUCGGGCCUGCAGUGGGUACGGGCAGACUAGAGUGCGGUAGGGGAGAUUGGAAUUCCUGGUGUAGCGGUGGAAUGCGCAGAUAUCAGGAGGAACACCGAUGGCGAAGGCAGAUCUCUGGGCCGUAACUGACGCUGAGGAGCGAAAGGGUGGGGAGCAAACAGGCUUAGAUACCCUGGUAGUCCACCCCGUAAACGUUGGGAACUAGUUGUGGGGUCCAUUCCACGGAUUCCGUGACGCAGCUAACGCAUUAAGUUCCCCGCCUGGGGAGUACGGCCGCAAGGCUAAAACUCAAAGGAAUUGACGGGGACCCGCACAAGCGGCGGAGCAUGCGGAUUAAUUCGAUGCAACGCGAAGAACCUUACCAAGGCUUGACAUACACGAGAACGCUGCAGAAAUGUAGAACUCUUUGGACACUCGUGAACAGGUGGUGCAUGGUUGUCGUCAGCUCGUGUCGUGAGAUGUUGGGUUAAGUCCCGCAACGAGCGCAACCCUCGUUCUAUGUUGCCAGCACGUAAUGGUGGGAACUCAUGGGAUACUGCCGGGGUCAACUCGGAGGAAGGUGGGGAUGACGUCAAAUCAUCAUGCCCCUUAUGUCUUGGGCUUCACGCAUGCUACAAUGGCCGGUACAAAGGGCUGCAAUACCGUGAGGUGGAGCGAAUCCCAAAAAGCCGGUCCCAGUUCGGAUUGAGGUCUGCAACUCGACCUCAUGAAGUCGGAGUCGCUAGUAAUCGCAGAUCAGCAACGCUGCGGUGAAUACGUUCCCGGGUCUUGUACACACCGCCCGUCAAGUCAUGAAAGUCGGUAACACCUGAAGCCGGUGGCCCAACCCUUGUGGAGGGAGCCGUCGAAAGGUGGGAUCGGUAAUUAG
rnacentral:rRNA from 1 species